ACAUGGGGCUUGUUGCUUCUCUGGGUAAAUGCUUUAUCUGUGAAUUUUCAGACAAAAUGGGCAACUGGCAAUGCUCAUAACAUAUUCCAAUUUUUAUUGGAAUUUUCCAUGGAAUGUUAUUAUUACAUUAAAGCUAUGUAAGGUGAAGCUUUGAUAAUUUUUUACUUUUAAAAUUAUGAUAAAUUCUAAUCUAAUAUUAAAAAAAAUUUUUGUACUCCACAUGAAAAAUGCUAAAUUAUAGUGCAGGCAUUUAGGAAAGUAUUGAGGGAUUGAAUUCCUUAAGAAUUUCUUUUCUAGUUCUGAGUCAUAAAUACUCAAUUGACUUAAAUUUCUAAAAUUGUAAACUGAGUCUUUUUAUUGUAAAUCUACCAUAGUAAAGCCUUUGGAAUUUUUUUUCUGCUUUUUCCUUGUUACAACUCAUUUAAAAACCGAAUUAGUUUUCUUAGGUGACAUAAACCUGUCUCUUGAGAAAUAAAUAAAACACUCUUGUGUUUCCAGUGGCUGUAGGACCUGAAAUGUGUUUCCUAGAGACGGAAACAUUCUGUUGAAGUUAACUUUUCUUUGUCACAAUUUUGGAUAAUAAACAUCUAAAAGUAUUAAUGUUUAAAGACUUAUAUUCUCUACUGGGGCCCUUAAAAUUUAGAUGGAAGAAAUCCAACCAGAAUAUUUAUAUUAGAGUAUAAUCUCAUCUGGUAGGAUGAACUAGCUGACCAUGGAUACGUUUUUGUGAUUUUUUUCCCCCCAAGUUGUCUUUUCUAACUUUAAAUGUGUUCUGAGAUAUGCGAACAUUAAUUGUAAUGUCAACUAUUAUACAACUGUCUUUGCAACUUUAUCUGAACUUUGAGAAUUUCCUCAAUCAUCUAAAUGCCCUAGAGAUUUUGGUUCUCUCUGUUCACAACCAGUUGUAUAACAAAUGCUCAAUAGUGUUUUCCUCCCUGUGUGUGAAGUAAUGAAUCAUUGGUUAUGUGACUUGUUAUGUAUUCUAUUAAACACUAAAGAAUAAAACAUUCACUCCUUUGAUUAUUCCUCUUAGC
rnacentral:lncRNA from 1 species